UACGGCACUCAUCGGUCUCUGGGUUGUCCUUGCAGUAAGUCUCCAAGGGGUCGGCGUCUUUCGCCUUGUCUCUGGCAUGGCUAGAAGCGGCACUCAGCUCUUCCACUUCAUCCCACGCCGCCACACACUCACCGCUGACAGGGUCAUCUGCACAUGACUCCUUGGCGUUCUCGAUGCUGGAGGCUAUCUUUUCCGACAAACUUUCAGGUGCCGCCCUCACCGGCAUCAAAUACAUCCUUCCUGAGCUCAUCAUCCUUGUAGUUGUAGGCAUCUUCACCCAUGAGGAGACCUUCGGUGAGUCUGAUGAUGGGCUGGCCAAAACCCGAGGGAUUGAAAGACUAACACCAGCCAUUGUUGCCAUUGUUUAUGGGUUUCUUUGAUGCAAACUACCAA
rnacentral:lncRNA from 1 species